rnacentral:rRNA from 1 species
GCUUAACACAUGCAAGUCGAGGGGCAGCAUGGUCUUAUCUUGCUAAGGCCGAUGGCGACCGGCGCACGGGUGAGUAACACGUAUCCAACCUGCCGUCUACUCUUGGACAGCCUUCUGAAAGGAAGAUUAAUACAAGAUGGCAUCAUGAGUCCGCAUGUUCACAUGAUUAAAGGUAUUCCGGUAGACGAUGGGGAUGCGUUCCAUUAGAUAGUAGGCGGGGUAACGGCCCACCUAGUCUUCGAUGGAUAGGGGUUCUGAGAGGAAGGUCCCCCACAUUGGAACUGAGACACGGUCCAAACUCCUACGGGAGGCAGCAGUGAGGAAUAUUGGUCAAUGGGCGAGAGCCUGAACCAGCCAAGUAGCGUGAAGGAUGACUGCCCUAUGGGUUGUAAACUUCUUUUAUAAAGGAAUAAAGUCGGGUAUGGAUACCCGUUUGCAUGUACUUUAUGAAUAAGGAUCGGCUAACUCCGUGCCAGCAGCCGCGGUAAUACGGAGGAUCCGAGCGUUAUCCGGAUUUAUUGGGUUUAAAGGGAGCGUAGAUGGAUGUUUAAGUCAGUUGUGAAAGUUUGCGGCUCAACCGUAAAAUUGCAGUUGAUACUGGAUAUCUUGAGUGCAGUUGAGGCAGGCGGAAUUCGUGGUGUAGCGGUGAAAUGCUUAGAUAUCACGAAGAACUCCGAUUGCGAAGGCAGCCUGCUAAGCUGCAACUGACAUUGAGGCUCGAAAGUGUGGGUAUCAAACAGGAUUAGAUACCCUGGUAGUCCACACGGUAAACGAUGAAUACUCGCUGUUUGCGAUAUACUGCAAGCGGCCAAGCGAAAGCGUUAAGUAUUCCACCUGGGGAGUACGCCGGCAACGGUGAAACUCAAAGGAAUUGACGGGGGCCCGCACAAGCGGAGGAACAUGUGGUUUAAUUCGAUGAUACGCGAGGAACCUUACCCGGGCUUAAAUUGCAGAUGAAUUACGGUGAAAGCCGUAAGCCGCAAGGCAUCUGUGAAGGUGCUGCAUGGUUGUCGUCAGCUCGUGCCGUGAGGUGUCGGCUUAAGUGCCAUAACGAGCGCAACCCUUGUUGUCAGUUACUAACAGGUUCCGCUGAGGACUCUGACAAGACUGCCAUCGUAAGAUGUGAGGAAGGUGGGGAUGACGUCAAAUCAGCACGGCCCUUACGUCCGGGGCUACACACGUGUUACAAUGGGGGGUACAGAGGGCCGCUACCACGCGAGUGGAUGCCAAUCCCCAAAACCUCUCUCAGUUCGGACUGGAGUCUGCAACCCGACUCCACGAAGCUGGAUUCGCUAGUAAUCGCGCAUCAGCCACGGCGCGGUGAAUACGUUCCCGGGCCUUGUACACACCGCCCGUCAAGCCAUGGGAGCCGGGGGUACCUGAAGUGCGUAACCGCGAGGAGCGCCCUAGGGCAAAACUGGUGACUGGG